rnacentral:rRNA from 2 species
UGGGGAAUAUUGCACAAUGGGGGAAACCCUGAUGCAGCAACGCCGCGUGAGUGAUGACGGCCUUCGGGUUGUAAAGCUCUAUCAGCAAGGAAGAUAAUGACGGUACUUGACUAAGAAGCCCCGGCUAACUACGUGCCAGCAGCCGCGGUAAUACGUAGGGGGCAAGCGUUAUCCGGAUUUACUGGGUGUAAAGGGAGCGUAGGUGGCAUGAUAAGUCUGAUGUGAAAGCCCGGGGCUCAACCCCGGGAUUGCAUUGGAAACUAUCAAGCUAGAGUGCAGGAGAGGUAAGUGGAAUUCCUAGUGUAGCGGUGAAAUGCGUAGAUAUUAGGAGGAACACCAGUGGCGAAGGCGGCUUACUGGACUGUAACUGACACUGAGGCUCGAAAGCGUGGGGAGCAAACAGG